ACCACGCAGAGAUCAGCUCUUCCUGACAGGAUGUGUUCCACAGUUAUCCGGUAUUGACAAGAAUAAAAGCGUCAGCAAAUAUAUCCCCCCCCCCACCGAAGGGCGAAAGGGAUACAGGAUUGUUGUGUGUGUGUUAUGUAGUGGGAUGCAAUCUCGGCCGUAGUGUGACUUGAAAAGUCUUUGAGAUAUUGAGUUCAAACUUCAUAAACAGAUUUAUGUCAUUUGAGAGGUGCAAUACAAUUGUCGUACUGACUAUAUAUAGGGUCAGAACGUGAACAGUGCUGAUAGCUGUGUCCAUCAAUAGGAUAAUGGUUAAUAACUUAGUUUGUAAAACAUAUUUAAAAUGACCGACGGGUAAUUAUGGCGAUAUACAAAAGACAAACCAUCUAAAAACAACAAGCUAAGGAUCAGUGAAACCGGCAUCAUUGCGGACGUUAAGAAGAUCAUCUCAAGCUUGUGAUUGAUACGAGCAGAACCUGAUCUGAAGGUAACUAUGGGAGCAUUAUUGCGACAUGUAAUCAUAGUGUGUCCGACAUCAACAACAAGCAAAGAUGGUGAGGUGCUGAAGACACACCGUCGGGGUGUGACAAUCCCAGAUAAUGUCAGUCCGGAGUCACAGGUGUCUUUGCGGAUAUAAACAGUACGCUCUGCAAUUUGAGAACAAAAAGGCUUCAGAUCCAGAACUGGAAACGAUCAGAUGUAUUUGUCCGGACCCAUGCACGCGAUUCGAGAAAACAAUAUAUCUGAUCGAAGAUAGAUCAAUAUGAUGAGACGUCCCACGCUAAAUACCUGAUUUGGAGGAAACAUGAGCCUCUUCCAGGUAGAAUAUUGUCCUGAUUUGUCCGGCAUUUUCUAGAAGCACAGCUAGAUGGUAAGAUACAUAUUAUGCAUUUAGGCCACGACUUAUCAUCCAACAAUUACCUGUGGAGCUCUUCUGGUCGUUUAAGGGUGACAAAUACAAAAGAUGAACUUAUGUGCACAAAGCGGAGGGAUGCAGUUUCAGGUUAGUCGAGUCAGUACAUUAAAUGUUACUGAUUAAUAGCUAAUUUCUCGCUUAAGCAACAAUUGCAAAUUACAGAGUGUGUUGCGGUUAACUUAUUUGUUCUGGUUUCAAUGGAAUUAUCAGCGAUACAUGCUUGACUUUAUACUGGUAAAUGAUUUGGAUUAGGUGUAACAUUUGUUUGGAUUUUUCUUAAUUACUAAAAUGCUGCAUUGUUUACGCAAAAUGUCAACUUUCCUGGGCUUAUAAAUAUAGCAUUGUUGUCUGGUCUUAAUUUAAGACUGCAGAUAACUAUUUUCGAAAUACACUGACAGUUGAGUUAUGUCCAUCUACCUGCAUUAUUUGAGAGCCUAUUUUUAACAUUGAAGGCAACUGUUCACGAUCACAUUUGUAACUUUAUGCGAAAAAAUCCCUAUAAAGUAGUGUUGCUCUUUGACAGACUGGUAGGAGAUAUUCUGGUGACAUAACAUUGGAAUAUGAAACAUUCGGUCUAUCAAAAUUGAUCACAUUUAUCUCCCUUUGACCGCAUAUUCCGAAGUUUAACGACAAGUAGGUACUAGAUGCAGCAAAUACAAAUUUCCUGCUUAACAGACCAAGGGAUGGAUUGUGUAGUAUAUCUAUCUUAACAUACUUUUGACCAAAUGGAAGGUGUCAUAAAUUGGCUAAUAUAUUCAAUGUAAGCUUAAAAGUCCAGAAUAUAUACUUAAGAGGCUUUAAGUUUGGUUUUAUGUUACUUUAAUUUAUUUCCUAUUAAACCAAGUGUAUAUGAUGGUUAUGUUGUGCAUGAGAUUGAAUCUUUGGUCCAAAUGCUCUCUUUCAGGUAUGCCAAUACGCGUUUUUUCACCCUGAAUUACUGAUCAGGAAGUCUUAUGAAACAUUUCCUGUCAUAAAGUCGUCCGGAGUUGUCCGGUAAAAAGCAUUGAUCUGUACUUAAUUUUGGCUUCAGCAUACCUUCUGAGUUGCUAUCGUCAUUUACAGUUGAACAUGCAUCAAGCUAUAAAUAAUUGUAAAAACUAAGAUAAUCUAGCAAACAUUGUGUUGAAAUACAUAUGACAUCCAUGGGUUGACAAUUAAUGUUUUAGAUGUACACAUUUGUUCAUAUGGAAACUAAGAACCACUCUUCAAUUGAUGUCCAAUAACGGUUAAAAGUUAAAUAAAUCUCAACAUUUGACAUUCUGAUACCUAUGACAUAAGAAGUUUAGAGUCCAGUAGUUUCACAAACAGGUAACAAUUCGACUUUGAGGCUGAUCUAUUUAUUGUGUCUUGCGAAUGAAUCAUUAGUGCAAAUGUUCUCUUUCAGAAUUGCCAAUACGUGCGGAUGGUCCACACUGAAACACUGAUCUCCAUGUUACAAAAGGCUUUUGUUGGAAGGAUUUUAUCCUGAUAUGUCCAGCGAUUACUUCAAUCACACUAAUCUUCUUUGGUCACAAGACUGCUUCAAACCACUUCAUCUGUAACAUUACAGAUUUGACAAUUACAAUUUUCUGUACACAUGUUACACAUCUGUGCAAAACACUUUGAACAAUAAUACAUCUAUUCUGGUUAAUAACUAGGUUUGUAAAUAUUUUACCAUGAUCACAAAUGUGUUUUUGUUAUUGACUGAUUUUCGGCGGUAUGAUGAAGAUAUUACAUGAAAAUGUGACAGGCCUUUGAUAUGCAAGUUGUAUUCCUUUUAGUGAUUAAAAGGGAAGGAUAAGCAGUUUGCUUACAUCUCUAGAGUUUCUAAAUAUUGAUGUGACAAGGCAACUCCGAAUUAAACAUACUACACUUAUCAUUUGUCUCGAGGUUUCUAUGUCCUGGAAGUUACCCACCUGAACUAUUCCUAAUCAUACAGUAGUUUAAUGAUAAAUAGUGAUACUCCUACUAACCAAUUAAACACCAUAGUCUGGUAUUUGUAAUCUUAAACGAAGUUGGAGAGGAACUCCAUUAUCUCCUUUAAUGUUAACACUUCUUAAUCGAACGGAAAAUAGUAUUCCUCUAUGUUAACAGAACUAUUGUAAAUAUUCUUUGAUUUAAAUGUAUAAUGAACGAGAACGGGUAUCUCGUUUUAAUAAGUGAAGUGUAUUUAGAUCACUUACAGCCUGUUUGAACAUCUUUAUUUGUCCUUUAUAACAUAUGUAAUCUGCAUAAAAUGGAUUCACCUUUUUUUAUACAUUGCAUGUGUUGAGUGUAAAAAAUGUAUACAGCGAUAAUCACUUUCUUUCGUCCGGACAUAUGUCAUUAAGGUUUACUCUUGAGCUAAUAUGCACUGUCUAAACGAAUGUCUUAGUGGCUGUUUUCUUGGUCUUUGUUGCAUUGAUUUAAUAUUAUGUGUGGAUGACAAGUAAACUAAAACUAAGGAACUCUUCAUGGCUGAAUACACUUUUAGAUGUUAGAGUUUCUUUCUUUGUGCAGCUAGCCUUGCAUCAGGAAUGGUGUUGGUCAUUCGACUACGGAC